rnacentral:rRNA from 1 species
AGGUGCUGCACGGCUGUCGUCAGCUCGUGUCGUGAGAUGUUGGGUUAAGUCCCGCAACGAGCGCAACCCUCGUCACUAGUUACUAACGAUUCGGUCGAGGACUCUAGUGAGACUGCCUUCGUAAGGAGGAGGAAGGUGAGGACGACGUCAAGUCAUCAUGGCCCUUACGGCUAGGGCAACACACGUGCUACAAUGGUUGGGACAGUGAGACGCAAUACCGCGAGGUGGAGCAAAUCUAUAAACCCAAUCUCAGUUCGGAUUGUAGUCUGCAACUCGACUACAUGAAGCUGGAAUCACUAGUAAUCGUAGAUCAGCUAUGCUACGGUGAAUACGUUCCCGGGUCUUGUACUCACCGCCCGUCACACCAUGGGAGUUGAUUUCACUCGAAGCGGGGAAGCUAAACUGGCUACCCUCCACAGUGGAAUUAGCGACUGGGGUGAAGUCGUAACAAGGUA